rnacentral:lncRNA from 1 species
GCAAGAGAAAUGAUUUAUUUAAUAACACCCAAGAGGAUUUAAAUGUCCGUAAUUAUUUUAAAAUGUCUGAUUUGGGUUAGUAGGAUGUCAGUUCCUUAAAGGUAGGAAUUGAACAUUUUUGCCUUUGAAUAUCCAAAGUCUGGCACAUGUACCCGAUCUAAGAUUUCAUUGGAAAAGUGACUCCCAGUAAGGAAACUCUCUCUAAGGAUAUCCUGUUCCAUAGUUGAUAGCACCAAAGAGAUGCCUGGACCAGAGAGAGGUUAAAUGAAUCAGAAUGGCCUCUAUUAAGCAAUUGCCUAUGCCAAGCAUUGUGCUUAGGAUACAAAGACAAACAAACAGAAAACAGGCCUGUGCUUCAGUGAGCUUCUUCUUCAGGGAAGAUAAUACGUACUUAUAUACAGGACCAGGAAGGACAAGUUCUUCAUUAAACAAAUUUAGUCAACAGAAGAAAAAUCUAAAACUGAAAAUGAAUAUAGAGCCAGCAGCAUCAAUUAGAGAAGAAAUCAAUACAACAUCAUCAACAGAAUCAGAUCCGUGUAAGUGGGAGUCUCCUGAGAUAGGUGCUGAUCACCGUUCUGUUUUACACUUGUUUUCCUAACUUAAUCUAUGAAAAACAGAAUUGGGGAGUGGAGAGAAGAGGUUACAGGUUGGAUAAAGGGGGCCACGAUCCCUAUGCAACAAGUCACUACCCUUUCACAGGCUACAAAAACACUCCCAUUAGGCCAGUCAGGCCCCCAUUAGUAACAAGUCUACACUCCUUAAUAUGUACAAAUGGAAAUCCAGUUGGACAACCUUGAGAUUGGACAGAGAAUGAGGAGAUGCUCCAGAGUGGUUUCGUUGGGUUAGGAGACUCCUCUAGUGAUCCUUUAAAUAGAAGUGACCCCACACAUUGGAGGAUUAGUCAGUAGCCUACAAGGUAAGAUGUCAGAAAAAUAUUGACUUCAAGUGUAUUGUCUAAAGCUUCAAUUAUUAUUCAUCCCUCUGGGCUAAGGCACAGUUGACCCCUUUCAGAAUAACCAUGCUUCUGGAGAACAGUAGGACAUUCAACCCUGCAUAUCUCAGCAGAAUGGCUUUCCUUAUCACCUUACAAUACCCCAGAGGAAUGGGACACAGGACAGGCAAGUGGGUAGGGACAGUCUAGAGGAGGAGCAGUGGGAAAUCAGGUAAUUUAGGAUACCAAGGCCAGCCUAAAGGCCUGUGUGAC